UAUGGGGUUACAGAGAGAGGAGAUCUUGAGAGUAUUGAGAAAGAUGAUGUUGUCCAGUACCAGCGAAGACUAGAAUCAUCUUCAAAUGCAGCUGGGCCUUCAUUGAGGAACAUGAUGUUCCGGUCUUCCACUUCUAUUGACAGAAAUUUGUGUUCAUCACAUAGUGAACCGAAUAUUACUACAAGAUUUUGGAGGAGGGGUUGGAGCAAGGUUAUCACUGAACCAAGAACUGCAAGUUCUAGGUUUGUUUUUAUAUCAAGAAUUCUUACUAAAAAGAUGCUUGUUACUCUAUCUUCUAAUGACAUCUUCAACUUGGAGCCUUUGUAUUGCCUGCUUUUGUUUUGUGAUUAUGGCUAUGAAACUUGUAUGAUAUGGAUUAUAACUUGACUUAACAUCUUAUUUGUCUCAAGUGGUCACCAAUUCUUUAACUGACAGAAAACUUGGCAAGAUCAAAAUAUAAGCUUAUGUUAAUGUUAAUUGGGGAUAAGUGAUAAACAU